rnacentral:rRNA from 1 species
AUUGAACGCUGGCGGCAUGCCUUACACAUGCAAGUCGAGCGGCAGCGCGGGGGCAACCCUGGCGGCGAGCGGCGAACGGGUGAGUAAUACAUCGGAACGUGUCCAGUAGCGGGGGAUAACCUGUCGAAAGAUAGGCUAAUACCGCAUACGACCUACGGGUGAAAGCGGGGGACCGCACGGCCUCGCACUAUUGGAGCGGCCGAUGUCGGAUUAGCUAGUUGGCGGGGUAACGGCCCACCAAGGCGACGAUCCGUAGCUGGUCUGAGAGGACGACCAGCCACACUGGAACUGAGACACGGUCCAGACUCCUACGGGAGGCAGCAGUGGGGAAUUUUGGACAAUGGGCGCAAGCCUGAUCCAGCCAUGCCGCGUGAGUGAAGAAGGCCUUCGGGUUGUAAAGCUCUUUCGGCGGGGACGAAACGGUCCGUGCCAACACCACGGACUAAUGACGGUACUCGCAGAAGAAGCACCGGCUAACUACGUGCCAGCAGCCGCAGUAA